UACGGGGGGGAGCAAGCGUUGUUCGGAUUUACUGGGCGUAAAGGGCGCGUAGGCGGCGCAACAAGUCACUUGUGAAAUCUCCGGGCUUAACCCGGAGCGGUCAAGUGAUACUGUCGUGCUAGAGUGCGGAAGGGGCUACUGGAAUUCUCGGUGUAGCGGUGAAAUGCGCAGAUAUCAGGAAGAACACCCGUGGCGAAGGCGGUUCUCUGGGACGGUACUGACGCUGGAGACGCGAAAGCGUCGGGGAGCGAACAGG
rnacentral:rRNA from 1 species